rnacentral:rRNA from 1 species
CCUACGGGAGGCAGCAGUGGGGAAUAUUGGGCAAUGGACGCAAGUCUGACCCAGCACCGCCGCGUGAAGGAAGAAGGCUUUCGGGUUGUAAACUUCUUUUAAGGGGGCAGAGCAGAAGCCGGUACCCCUUGAAUAAGCCACGGCUAACUACGUGCCAGCAGCCCCGGUAAUACGUAGGGGGCAAGCGGUGUCCGGAUUUCCUGGGGGGAAAGGGGGUGCGGCCGGAGCGACAAGUCCGUGUUGAAAACCACGGGCGUAACCCGUGAACUGCAUUUGAAACUGUUUCCCUUGAGUUGCGGAGAGGGAAGCGGAAUGCCUUGUGUAGCGGUGAAAUGCGUAGAUAUAAGGAAGAACACCAGUGGCGAAGGCGGAUUACUGGACGAUAACUGACGCUGAGGCGCGAAAGCGUGGGGAGCAAACAGGAUUAGAUACCCUGGUAGUC